AUCACUGGACUGAGCCGCAAUACCUGGCUGGGCUGCCACAACUGGCUGAACUGCCACGGCUGGCUGAACUGCUGGAACCUGAGCCUAAGGAGCUACCGGCUCUGGAGUACGAGUAUCGUGAGUCAGAACUCCUCCCCCAGCCUGAGAUGUGGCUGGAGCUACGGGAAGCAAACCCGCUCUAGAAAUGCCCUCCAUAAAGCCUACCAGUCGGACCAAAGCGUCCUGAAGCACUGGAGUGGCUAUGAAACCCUCUGGGACCUGAGCUGGGCCCACUAGAAUAGCUGGGGCCGGAACCUCAUCCUCGAAAUCGACCUGAGGCUCCGUCGCUGGAAAUUCUGCUCGGGGCUGAGCUCUGCCCCGGCCUCGGCCUCGCCUUCUGCCGCUAAUAUGGGCUGUUGCUGGGAGCUCAAGCUGUUACGCGGUAGAAGAAGAAGCACGUGUCCUCGCCAUCUACAAAAGAACAGAGUGGAACGACAAUCAGUACUUGAGAAACAGAAUCGCACGACAAGAAUGAACAAGGUGAAGUCUUCCUAACUCAGUAGCCUCUACGGGAUAAAUACAGACGUCUCCGUACCGAUCUCUCAGACUCUACUAAGCUUGUCCAUGAGUUGUGAAACCUGAGUAACCUAGUGCUCUGAUACCAACUUGUCACGACCCGAAUUUCCCACCAUCGGGUGUCGUGAUGGCGCCUACUAUCGGGGCUAGGCAAGCCAAAUAUUUAAAACAUCUUUCCUACUUUCUUUCAAACAAUAUAAUAAACGAGACAAAAUUUAAGCGAAAGACUUUAAAUCUAAAGCAACUGAAAACCAAAAGUGCGGAAGUUGAAUACACAUCACUAUCCAAGGUCUGGUGUAACUAGCUCACGGACUACUACAGAAUACUACAAACAAUGUCUGAAAGGAAAUACAUCAUGUUUGUCUGAUACAAGAUGAACAAACGAAAAACAUGGAAAGGGAAUUUGGUCUGCGAAUGCCAGCUAGGCUACCUCGAGAGUCCUUGGACUGAAGAUAGCUCCUAGAAGUCCUACUGCUGCGGUCCGUAAGCUUCUCCCUGAUCUGUGCACCAAAAAUGCAUAGAGUGUAGCAUCAGCACAACCGACCCCAUGUGCUGGUAAGUGUCUGGCCUAACCCCGGCGAAGUAGUGACGAGGCUAGACAGUACCUACCACAAUUAACCUGUACAGAUAUAUAUACAACAAGUGCAAGAAAACAAUAACAAGAUAAUACGAAGUAAAACUGGGAGGGGACAUGCUAUCGGGGAGUAACAGAUAAAAAUGAAAUAUCGAAAAUAAGCAGAAGAGACUCCGGUUCCCAUGAUGUAUAUAUAUAUAAGUGGACGGCGUGCCACACGAUCCCAUGAUAUCAUAUAUAAGUGGACGGCGUGCCACACGAUCCCAUAAUAU
rnacentral:lncRNA from 1 species